GACGAACGCUGGCGGCGUGCUUAACACAUGCAAGUCGAACGGAAAGGCCCUGCUUGCAUGGUAUUCGAGUGGGGAACGGGUGAGUAACACAUGGGUGAUCUGCCCUCUACUUUUUGAUAUGCCUUGGCGACUGGGUCUAUUACCGCAUAGGUGCCAUUCUUCGUGUGAUGGUUGGUAAGAUUUUUGGGUCUAGGGUGAGCUCGCGGGCUGUUAGCUUGUUGGUGGGGUAAUGGGCUACCAAGGCGGCCACGGGUAGCUGGCCUGCGGGGGUGGACGGCCACAAUGGGACUGAGGUAAGGGCCAGACUGCUAAGGGAGGCAACAGUGGGGAAUAAUGCACAAUGGGGGCAAGGCUGAUGCAGAGACGCCGCGGGGGGGAAGACGGCCUUCGGGUUGUAAACUCGUUUCGGGAGGGAAGAAGGUUUUUGUGACGGUACCUAGAUAAGAAGCACCGGCUAACUACGUG
rnacentral:rRNA from 1 species